CAGCACCUCAAGUGGUCAGGAUGAUUAUUGGGCCUAAAGCAUCCGUAGCCUGCUUUGUAAGUUUUCGGUUAAAUCCAUACGCUUAACGUACAGGCUGCCGGGAAUACUGCAGCGCUAGGGAGUGGGAGAGGUAGACGGUACUCGGUAGGAAGGGGUAAAAUCCUUUGAUCUAUUGAUGACCACCUGUGGCGAAGGCGGUCUACCAGAACACGUCCGACGGUGAGGGAUGAAAGCUGGGGGAGCAAACCGGAUUAGAUACCCGAGUAGUCC
rnacentral:rRNA from 1 species